rnacentral:rRNA from 1 species
GACGAACGCUGGCGGCGUGCCUAAUACAUGCAAGUAGAACGCACAGUUUAUACCGUAGCUUGCUACACCAUAGACUGUGAGUUGCGAACGGGUGAGUAACGCGUAGGUAACCUGCCUGGUAGCGGGGGAUAACUAUUGGAAACGAUAGCUAAUACCGCAUAAUAUUAAUUAUUGCAUGAUAAUUAAUUGAAAGGUGCAAUUGCACCACUACCAGAUGGACCUGCGUUGUAUUAGCUAGUAGGUGAGGUAACGGCCCACCUAGGCGACGAUACAUAGCCGACCUGAGAGGGUGAUCGGCCACACUGGGACUGAGACACGGCCCAGACUCCUACGGGAGGCAGCAGUAGGGAAUCUUCGGCAAUGGACGAAAGUCUGACCGAGCAACGCCGCGUGAGUGAAGAAGGUUUUCGGAUCGUAAAGCUCUGUUGUAAGAGAAGAACGGGUGUGAGAGUGGAAAGUUCACACUGUGACGGUAUCUUACCAGAAAGGGACGGCUAACUACGUG